rnacentral:rRNA from 1 species
AGCGAACGCUGGCGGCAGGCUUAACACAUGCAAGUCGAGCGGGCGUAGCAAUACGUCAGCGGCAGACGGGUGAGUAACGCGUGGGAACGUACCUUUUGGUUCGGAACAACCCAGGGAAACUUGGGCUAAUACCGGAUAAGCCCUUACGGGGAAAGAUUUAUCGCCGAAAGAUCGGCCCGCGUCUGAUUAGCUAGUUGGUGAGGUAACGGCUCACCAAGGCGACGAUCAGUAGCUGGUCGAGAGGAUGAUCAGCCACAUUGGGACUGA